AAGUCGUAACAAGGUUUCCGUAGGUGAACCUGCGGAAGGAUCAUUAUUGAAACUUCUUUGGAAGUAGUACUGUUGCUGGCCUUGUAAUGAGGUAUGUGCACGUACUAUUUCUAAUCUAUCCAUCCACCUGUGCACUUAUUGUAGGAGUUUUUUGAGGUUAGCUUGUUGUAGGCUUCGGCUUAUGCAGGUUGACUUUAAAAAGGCUUCUAUGUCUUACAAACCUAUUGAAGUAUGUUUUAGAAUGUCUUUUAUUGGGACUUUAUUGGCCCUUUAAACUUGUACAACUUUUAGCAAUGGAUCUCUUGGCUCUC
rnacentral:misc_RNA from 1 species